CAGUCGCCGCGGUAAUACGAAGGGGGCUAGCGUUGUUCGGAAUCACUGGGCGUAAAGGGUGCGCAGGCGGGAUCUUAAGUCAGGGGUGAAAUCCCGAGGCUCAACCUCGGAACUGCCUUUGAUACUGGGGUCCUUGAGUCCGGAAGAGGUGAGUGGAACUGCGAGUGUAGAGGUGAAAUUCGUAGAUAUUCGCAAGAACACCGGUGGCGAAGGCGGCUCACUGGUCCGGAACUGACGCUGAGGCACGACAGCGUGGGGAGCAAACAGGAUUAGAUACCCCGGUAGUCCCUGUCUCUUAUAC
rnacentral:rRNA from 1 species